rnacentral:rRNA from 1 species
UACGUAGGGUGCAAGCGUUGUCCGGAAUUAUUGGGCGUAAAGAGCUUGUAGGCGGUUUGUCGCGUCUGCUGUGAAAUUUCGGGGCUCAACCCCGAACUUGCAGUGGGUACGGGCAGACUAGAGUGUGGUAGGGGAGACUGGAAUUCCUGGUGUAGCGGUGAAAUGCGCAGAUAUCAAGAGGAACACCGAUGGCGAAGGCAGGUCUCUGGGCCAUAACUGACGCUGAGGCACGAAGGUCAGGGGAGCAAACGGG